rnacentral:rRNA from 1 species
GAUGAACGCUGGCGGCGUGCCUAAUACAUGCAAAUCGAGCGAACGGACGAGAAGCUUGCUUCUCUGAUGUUAGCGGCGGACGGGUGAGUAACACGUGGAUAACCUACCUAUAAGACUGGGAUAACUUCGGGAAACCGUAGCUAAUACCGGAUAAUAUUUUGAACCGCAUGGUUCAAAAGUGAAAGACGGUCUUGCUGUCACUUAUAGAUGGAUCCGCGCUGCAUUAGCUAGUUGGUAAGGUAACGGCUUACCAAGGCAACGAUGCAUAGCCGACCUGAGAGGGUGAUCGGCCACACUGGAACUGAGACACGGUCCAGACUCCUACGGGAGGCAGCAGUAGGGAAUCUUCCGCAAUGGGCGAAAGCCUGACGGAGCAACGCCGCGUGAGUGAUGAAGGUCUUCGGAUCGUAAAACUCUGUUAUUAGGGAAGAACAUAUGUGUAAGUAACUGUGCACAUCUUGACGGUACCUAAUCAGAAAGCCACGGCUAACUACGUG